UAUUCUCAACAAUGGAUAUCUCGGCUCUCGCAUUGAUGAAGAAUAUAGAGAAAUGCAUACUUGGUGUGAAUUGUAGAAUCCCAUGAACCAUCCAUUAGGCCAAUGGCACAUUUUCCUAGGCGUCA
rnacentral:rRNA from 1 species